UUAUACUUCUAUAACCAAGAAUUAUAUUCUAAAAGGGGAGAAACAGCUACUACUCCCAAAAUUCUUCUUCCAUUUUUAAAAGGAACAACGGAGAAACUAAUCACAGCCACAAUCUGAUAUUUUCUUUCUGGUGAGUGCAGAUGGUUGUUGUAUUGCUGGUGUCACAUACAAUGAUCAAUUACUGGUAGCCUUUAGUGAGAGAUUUAUAAAGUGAUUCAUGAAUAUUAAAUUGGUCACCAAAAUGAUUGCCAUGUUUGAUUACGAAGAGAUAUCAAUACUUGAGAGUACUAUAAUGGAAUGAGAGGAAUAGUAUUUGUCAGGCAGACCCCAUUGACGGUUAAUGGCAUGUUGAAGUGUGCGACACUUACGGAAGGGUAGAGAUCACCAUGUGCUAGCAUGAUCAGUAGUGUUAAAAUAAUGCAAAUAAGCCAACAGCAAGCCAUGGGCCUGUAACACCAGAGAGCAACAAUUUACCUAUAGGACGACCCUCAUCAGGUUCAGCUUUCAUUAAACCAAAAGGCUAUAGUGGCUCAAAAGAUAUCCAGUUUACAGAAAACUCAGUUUCGGUGAGAGGCGAGACCCCAACAGCAGCAAUAACGAAGGUUGACAUGGAGCAGCUUGCGCAAAACAGAGGCAAUGCCAUGCAGCAUUACAAAGAGAACAAGAAAUACCGAAGGUAGUUACUAUAGAAAAUCGAAGUUUGUAACGUCUUAAUACUAACAUAUCAUAAAUAGAUAUAAUAAGCACAUCCGGUACGAGUAGAGAAAGUUGAGAGUAGAUACGAGGAAGCGAGUUAAGGGUCGAUUUGUGAAGGUCCAGAUGGUUAAAUUCCUUCUGAAUUAUCUUUUUCUGAGCAUAAGUUCUUCUCUGUUCCAUCUUCAUGUAUAUAUUCCUUUGUUCUUCCACUUGAAAUGUAUAAUUCGUUGAUUUAUUCUGGGUUGGCAAUAAUUUCAUU